AUGACAAAGCCCAAUACCAGCAGCCUGUCGAACUUAUUCUGCAUAGCUUGUUCAGCUGUUGUCAUCCUAGGCAGAACCUGCAGUUGCUUGCAGUUCACUUACCCCAACUUCAACGCAAGAAACAGGGAUGAUUUCAGGUUCAGCCCUGGCUCAGCAAUCUCCAACAACUCCCUGCAGAUCACGCCGAGCGCCGGCAACAUGACCCACCGGUCGGGGAGAGUGGUGUACGCCAAGGAGACCCUCAAGCUGUGGAACAGCAAGCGCACGGCGCUCACCUCCUUCAGGACAGAUUUCAUGCUCAACAUCCUCCCACAGAACGGGACUGGAGAAGGUAUGGCCUUUGUGCUCACCAAUAAUCUGCCGUUGCCCAGCAACAGCAGCGGUCAGUGGCUGGGCGUGUGCAACAACCAGACAGACGGCGCGAAGACGAACCGAGUAGUAGCCGUGGAAUUCGACACGAGGAAGAGCAACGAGGAUGACCUUGACGGCAACCAUGUCGGCAUUGACAUCAACAGCAUCAAAUCUUUUCGGCAGUACCCGCUUAAUAAUCUCUCCAUCUUCCUCUCAACUGGGUCAGAUGUAUGGGUCAGUAUCAGGUACCACGGCACGUUACAGUUGCUUCAAAUAUUUCUAGUCCAGUACAGCAUCCGUGGGCGGCAUCUUUUCCAGGGAGAUACAUACAUUGAUCUGUCACAAGUUCUGCAGGACGACGUAUAUCUGGGAUUCACAGGUUCCACAGGCGACACCACACAACUGAACCAGAUAAAGUCGUGGAACUUCACCACAGUAGACAUUGAUGUCAAAGUUGGAAGAGGGCGUUGGAGAAAGGUGCUUUUGGCUCUCGUUACAUUGCUUGUGUUUUGUAUAAGUUUGUUUGCUGGGCUGUUCAUGUGGAGAAGGCUGACGCGGCGGAGAAGGCUCGCCUACCGCAACCUGGAGAAGAAGAUCGACGCACAUGGUCCGGUCAAAUUUAAGCUCAGGGAGCUCAGGCAUGCGACUGCGAACUUCAGUCCUACCCGCAAGCUCGGCAGAGGAGGCUUUGGCACCGUUUACCUUGGAUACGUCGAUAGGAUGAACUUGGAGGUGGCCGUCAAGCGGGUGUCGACGGACAAGCAGGCCGACACCAACCGGGGAGAGAAGGAGUUCGUGGCAGAGGUGAACACGAUCAGCAAGCUGUCGCACCGGAACCUCGUGAAGCUGAUCGGCUGGUGCCACAAGAAGGGCGAGCUGUUGCUUGUCUACGAGUACUUCCCCAUGGGAAGCCUUGACAAGCUCCUUUACGCCAGAGAAAGGACCGCAUCGUCCUCGUCCAUGUCGGCGUCGACGGACACACCAGAGCUCACAUGGAAGCGGCGGUACAAGAUCAUCUGCGGCGUGGCAUCGGCGCUGGACUACCUGCACCACGGGAGCAGCAAGCGGAUCCUCCACAGGGACGUCAAGGCCAGUAACGUGAUGCUGGAUGCGGAGUACAACGCGCGGCUGGGGGACUUCGGCCUCGCCCGCGUCAUCCAGCACGACGGCGUCACGCACCACUCCACGCAGGUCGUGGCGGGGACCCGCGGCUACAUGGCGUACGAGAGCUUCUUCACCGGCCGCGCCAGCCUCGACACGGACGUGUACGCGUUCGGGGUGUUCGUCAUGGAGGUGGUCAGCGGGAGGAGCCCCAGCAACGCCGUGCAGCAGCACUACAUCCACGACAGCGACCACCGUGGUGAGGAGGAUUACUCGGGCGGCGGGGGAGCGCGGCACCCCUUGCCGAUGCACAUCGUGGACUGGAUGUGGAGGCUCUACGGCGGAGGGAAGGCCUUGCAUGCCGCCGACCCUUUGCUCGGCGGCGAGUUUGACCAGGCGCAGGUGGACUGUGCGGUGAGGCUGGCGUUGGCGUGCUGCCACCCGAACCCGAGGGAGAGGCCGUCCAUGAGGACGGCGGUGCAGGUGUUGAUCGAUGGUGCCCCGGCGCCGGAGCCGCCGGUUAAUAAGCCUGCGUUUGUUUGGCCUCCGGGCGGCAAUCAGCGGGAGAUGGAGCUGCCGGACGUCGGCUUGCUGUUCACGGGAGGGGCUAGGCAGCACAGCAGUUUCUGCUCCUUGACCUCCACUUCCCUCACGGGGAGGUGA
rnacentral:rRNA from 1 species